UAGUACACUGAUGUAGUUUGAAAAUUAAAAACUAAUCUCAAUGGUACUAUCUCAACACACCUUAUUGCUAUUUGUCCGCCAUUACUGGAUAUCACACGGGUUCCCGUAAAAUUUUGACGUCAUGAAACAAAAUAUCUGACGCCACAAUGGAAAAGUGAUUGUUAUAUGCGUCAAAAGUUCAAGCGGCCAGGUCAGCUGGGAUUAGCGAUAAGGUGUAAGAAAAAAAUCAUUUUUUAACAACUUUUUUAUAUUAUGACGCAUCUAUAUUAUUGUAUAAUAUUUGUUACUUAUUGUAUUUUUCUCGUGUUAUAUGAUAUUGAACAUUUUUGGCUGUGAUGUUUUUAUUUAUUCUCAAUAUAUUCUCCACUGAGAUUGUUUAAUUUCUUAAAUGUGAAACUUGUCCUGUUGAAUGUCUUGAAAACAUGAUAUUUGCAAUCUUGAUUUACCUGUGAUCCUUUUUCAGAUUUUCUAAAAAAAUAUCAUUGAUAGUUCUUUCAAAGCAAAAAAAUAUUAUUUUCCUAUAAAACAUGAGUACUUUAAUCUUAAUAUAAAUAUGAGUUAUUUCCCUUUGAGUGCAAUAGCCCUGUUUCUCUUAAAUAAUUGAUUAUAAAUUCAAAUUAUUCCUGAUGGAAUUAGUAUGUUAUAUGUUAUAUUUGGUUUUCAUAAAACCAACCUGGUUUUUUUAGGCAGGAAUGUAUGUUAAGCAUAAAAGAUAAUUCAUACUGUAUAAUAUACAUGUACUACCAUUUUUAACUAUGUAUUGUAAUGUUGUUAAGAUAUUGUUAUUUAAUUUGUAAAUAUGUCUUAUAAUAAUGAAAACAUAUACAUCAAAUGAUAAAUUUAUGUGAAAAGUAUAUGCUAUCGAGUAUUGACAUAUAUGAGCUGUGUUGGAUAAAAAUGACCCUUAUGUCAAAAAAUAUCUGCUAUUAUCAAUGCAUCCAUUAACUUAUUUCAGGUUGAACAAAUCUUUAUGCCAAGUAUGUCACUAUUUAGAAAUUGAAUUGAUAUAUUAUCAUUGUCGGAUCCAGGGGGUGGGUUCCGGGGAUUGAAACCCCCCUUUUUUUUGGCCGAUCAAUGCAUUUGAAUGGGAGCAUUUAGCUGGAACCCCCCUUUACUCUGGGUUGGGAACCCCCCCCCCCCCCCCCCUUUUAAAAUGACUGGAUCCGCCCCUGCUCAAUACUAAACGAAAUUCAUCUUUUGUAUGGUAUUUGAAUGUUCCUAAACCAAUCAAAAUCUUAUACAUGUACAUGUAAACAUGCACUUGUAUAAUAUCAACUUCUAUAUGACACAGGUCACAUGUUUAGUGAGGGGCUUUUAGUGAGUGGACAAAGUAGUCUAACUAAUGUAUCACUAGCUUGUCACACUGAGGUGGUCAGUUGUAAUGUCACAUGUUUAGUGAGGGGCUUUUAGUGAGGGGUCAAAGUAGUCUAACUACUGUAUCACUAGCUUGUCACACUGAGGUUGUCAUUUCUAAUGUCACAUGUAACUAAUGUAUCACUAGCCUGUCACACUGAGGUUGUCAGUUCCAAUGUCACAUGUGGCAGCUGAGAUCAACUUAAUUCUUUAAAUAAUUGACAAGGAUUGUCAAGGUCAACAGUUUUUACCUUACAAUUUGGCUUCCUACACUAAUAAAAAAUGCCCACCUAAAAAUUGCACAUGUGCUUAAAAAGGCAUUAAACACCACAAUCAAUGAAUGGUAAAAUGCAUAAGUGGGGAUCAAUUUUAAUCUUUUCAUUAUGUCGAUGGAAAGAGAGUGUUAAAUUGUAUUCAGCAAAUUACUGUGGAUUCAUUAUUAUUUGCUGGAUACCAAUUAUCGUGGGUACAGGUGAAACACAAAUUUAAUGUCAAGGAAAUACAAAUUUCUAUAAAAGUUGAUCAAGACUUUGGAAGAACCCUGAAAUUGCAUAUCCACGAAAAUGCAAGAUUUCCACAAUCCACAGAAAUUGGUACCCACAAAAAUAAAUGAAUCCAUAGAAUUUUGUUUUGUGCAAAGCAAUAAAGAUACAGAAAAAUGGGUAUGAGACAUGUAGAAAAAGAAUAUAGCCUUAGAACCAACAUAAUACAAAGUGGAAUUUUAUGUUGUUAUUUUGUAAAGGAGUAGGUCCGGUAAGACCCCUUUUUGUCCCCAAAAUAUAGCAGUUUUACAAAAUUGUUAAAAUGUAAACUUUUAAAUAUACAGGGGACAGUAGAAUGCUUCUGCUACAUAAAUAUUGGUUGUUUUUGGCAAUACAAUGCACAUAUAUAUCGAGUACUAGCACCAUUAAGUCACGCUAAAUUACUGAAAUCUUCACAAUUCUAUCAUGUUGGCUAAAUUUUAGACGGUUUUCGUGUUCAUCCUUAAUAUUGAAAUGUAAGUUGUAUUUUAUGAUAAUACAUAACAUAUAUAAAGAUUUUGGAUGAACACGGAUGCGGCCACUUUCAUUUUUGACAAAAACUAUCUAAAAAUGACAUUUUUCGACAUAUUUGGUAGAUUUUUCAUAUUUGAGCUUGAAUCGGAUCGUUUUCAAUGACUAAAUCAGUUAAAAUCUUUCACAUAAACUAAUUGAUUCAAAUGAAAUAGACACUUAAGUGUUUAAAAAGAGGUCAAAUUCAUUCGUCAAAUGAACUUGAAAUUUGAGGCCAAAAUUGAUCCUUACCGGACCUACUCCUUUCCAUUUAUAAUGAGAUUCAUUGUUACUCUAAAUAUAUUGUUUGUUAAUUGUUAUUAUAUGUUAUGUUGUAAUUGGUGCUACAAAAAAUGUUUAGAAUAAAUAAAUAUAUGUAUAUUGUUACAAUAUUUUUUUUGAAGUAGCAAACUAAUAUCAGUGUUUUCCCCAGAAUUUUCUAAAUAGCUCCAUGAAAACAAACAUAGCACUUGUUUUCCAAAACAAUAUAGCACCAUGGCCCCUAUACAUUCUAUUAUAAAAUUAUCAAAGAAAGCAACAAGGUAUCAUGGUGCUUUAAUGCCAAGGGGAGAACACUGAAUAUAUAUCCUUUCAGUGGAGAAUCCAGAAAUUGUCAUAAAUGGGGCCCACUCCAGUCAUACUCCAGUGAUCUCUAUAUUAUCAACAAAAUCGUCCCAAAAAAAGGGCCC
rnacentral:lncRNA from 1 species